rnacentral:rRNA from 1 species
AGUCGAACGGAUCCUUCGGGAUUAGUGGCAGACGGGUGAGUAACGCGUGGGAAGCUACCUUGUGGUAGGGGACAACAGUUGGAAACGACUGCUAAUACCCUAUGAGCCCUAUGGGGGAAAGAUUUAUCGCCAUGAGAUGUGCCCGCGUUAGAUUAGCUAGUUGGUAAGGUAAUGGCUUACCAAGGCGACGAUCUAUAGCUGGUCUGAGAGGAUGAUCAGCCACACUGGGACUGAGACACGGCCCAGACUCCUACGGGAGGCAGCAGUGGGGAAUAUUGGACAAUGGGGGCAACCCUGAUCCAGCCAUGCCGCGUGUGUGAUGACGGCCUUAGGGUUGUAAAGCACUUUCAGCAGUGAAGAUAAUGACAUUAACUGCAGAAGAAGCCCCGGCUAACUUCGUGCCAGCAGCCGCGGUAAUACGAAGGGGGCUAGCGUUGUUCGGAAUCACUGGGCGUAAAGAGUACGUAGGCGGACUGAUAAGUUAGGGGUGAAAUCCCAAGGCUCAACCUUGGAACUGCCUUUGAUACUGUCAGUCUUGAGAUCGAGAGAGGUGAGUGGAACUCCGAGUGUAGAGGUGAAAUUCGUAGAUAUUCGGAAGAACACCAGUGGCGAAGGCGGCUCACUGGCUCGAUACUGACGCUGAGGUACGAAAGCGUGGGGAGCAAACAGGAUUAGAUACCCUG